rnacentral:rRNA from 1 species
CCUACGGGGGGCAGCAGUGAGGAAUAUUGGUCAAUGGACGAGAGUCUGAACCAGCCAAGUAGCGUGAAGGAUGACUGCCCUAUGGGUUGUAAACUUCUUUUAUAAAGGAAUAAAACGAGGCACGUGUGCCUUUUUGCAUGUACUUUAUGAAUAAGGAUCGGCUAACUCCGUGCCAGCAGCCGCGGUAAUACGGAGGAUCCGAGCGUUAACCGGAUUUAUUGGGUGUAAAGGGACCGUAGAUGGGUUGUUAAGUCAGUUGUGAAAGUUUGCGGCUCAACCGUAAAAUUGCAAUUGAUACUGGCAGUCGUGAGUACAGUUGAGGUAGGCGGAAUUCGUGGUGUAGCGGUGAAAUGCUUAGAUAUCACGAAGAACCCCGAUGGCGAAGGCAGCUUACUAAACUGUGACUGACAUUGAUGCUCGAAAGUGUGGGUAUCAAACAGGAUUAGAUACCCCAGUAGUC